rnacentral:rRNA from 1 species
CAGCAGCCGCGGUAACACAGAGGGUGCAAGCGUUAAUCGGAAUUACUGGGCGUAAAGCGCGCGUAGGUGGUUCGCCAAGUUGGAUGUGAAAUCCCCGGGCUCAACCUGGGAACUGCAUCCAAAACUGGCGAGCUAGAGUAUGGUAGAGGGUGGUGGAAUUUCCUGUGUAGCGGUGAAAUGCGUAGAUAUAGGAAGGAACAUCAGUGGCGAAGGCGACCACCUGGACUGAUACUGACACUGAGGUGCGAAAGCGUGGGGAGCAAACAGGAUUAGAUACCCGAGUAGUCCCUGUCUCUUAUAC